AAACCUUAUUAUAAAGCCGUUGUUAAUAGUGGUCAUUAUGGUAAUCAAUUGAUUGCUCAGUAUGGCACAUUUAGAACACUUGCUUAUAAGGAUGAAAAUGGAGAGAAGUUAUAUCCAUAUGCUCAUUUACCUUUUAAUACCUCUUCAAAUCAGAAAGAAGUUUCAGAUUUUUUGAGAGCAGCAUUUAGUUGUGAUGGGGGAGUAAAUUUAUAUAUUGGAAAAUCAAAGACUGGUUAUAAGUCUUUGAUUCGGAAUGUAUUUUUAUCCUGUCACCAUCCAAAACUUCAACACGAUUAUUGCGAUCUUUUAUCCUCUCUAGAGAUUAAGGCUAGAUUGCUUUUGAAAGAUAACAAAAUUCGUAUUGAAAGAAGAGAAGAUUUACAGAAAUUCCAAGAAAAAGUUGGCUUUCUCAAAGGUGUGAAGAUUACUCAGCAUUCCAAGUAUUGGCAAGGCUGGGAAAAGAAUAUUGUGUUAGAUCUCGCAUUAUCUUCAUAUGGUAAUGUGGGGAGCAUUCUUAAUCUUCCUCAGUUUUCUUAGGAUAAUGAUAUAGUCCGAUCUCAUGGGCGACCAUGAGCAUGUUGUUAACAGAUAACAACAGCCAUCUUUUUUAAAAGAUAGUAACAGGGUCUGUAGAGACCCCUGUAGUCCUAGCCGUAAACUCUGCUUGCUAGUUGGUCGGAUUUAUCCGGCUGACGUAAGCUAACGCGUUAAGCAAGCCGCCUGGGGAGUACGGCCGCAAGGCUAAAACUCAAAGGAAUUGACGGGGGAGCGCACAACCAGUGGAGCAUGUGGUUUAAUCCGAGACGAAGCGAAGACCUUACCUAGAUUUGACAUGUACCUGCAUUCUCGCGGAAACGCAAGAAGCCUUCGAGGGUGGUACACAGGUGAUGCAUGGCUGUCGUCAGCUCGUGGCGUGAGUCGUCUGCUUAAGUGCAGGAACGAGCGCAACCCCUGCCGUGUGUUGCAUUUCACACGGGACUGCCCAUCUUCAAGAUGGGAGGAAGGAGGGGACGAAGUCAAGUCAGCACGUCCCUUACAUCUAGGGCCACACACAUCCUACAAUGGCAUCAACAACGGGUCGCAAUGGGGUAACCCGGAGCUAAUCCUUAUAAAUGGUGCCUCAGUUCAGAUUGCGGGCUGAAACUCGCCCGCAUGAAGUCGGAAUUGGUAGUAAUCGCAGAUCAGAUGGCUGCGGUGAAUACGUUCUCGCUCCUUGUACAACGUAAAUAUGCGCCUUCCGCGCAUGAUUUCUAACCGAAAGGUCCCCGAGCAAGUCGGGUGAAGCGAACGGACA
rnacentral:rRNA from 2 species